GAGGAUGUUCGGAACGGUUUUUUUUUCUGGAAUUUAAACGGACUCAAAAACAACUGUUACGGGAAAACUUUCAACGGUUCUGAGGGAGACUGGUCAAGGCGAAAAAUAUGGAGCUCGCAGAGGAACGCCUCACCAUCCCCAUCAAUCCCAACAAUUUCCCAGCGAAAUUGUGGCGUCUGGUGAAUAACCCCAAAAAUCGAUCGAUACGUUGGGAUCCCUGUGGUGAGGGUUUGAUAAUCGACCAGCAGCUAUUUGAAUCAGAGCUGCUGUCACCUCAGAAACAAAUGUUUGACACCACUGACCUUUUCAAAACAACCAACUUUACAAGCUUCAACCGCCAGCUGAAUCUUUAUGGGUUCAGGAAGGUGGUCCAUGGCCCCGGGGGCUCGGAGAAGAAUGAUGUCUCAUCUCCGAUGGACGGGAUAAAACACCACUUCCACAACCCAAACUUCAAACAAGAUCAUCCCGAACUGCUGGUGAAUCUUAAGAGGCUGACAAGCAAAAACAAGGCGAAGAUGGAAGCUGGCCUAGAAGUGAACUGCCGGCCCCCAGCAAAUCGUUUCCACCGACUCAUGGCAAAUGGUGAUGGUGGUGAGGAGAAAGUUGAAGUAGAUAAAAGAGGUUCCAUGUUUGUUGGUCAGGUAAAACGACCAUCUCCUUACCAACAGUACCACCAAAGCAGAACCCAGCCCAUGAAGGACUAUGAUCGGACUCCUAUCCCACCCCGCGGCUGGAUCAUGGGUCAUGGGGAUGCCCCCUCCCCCACCACCUUCUACACAGACAAGGGAAUCCCCAUAUCUGUCAUCCACCGGUUCCCUUCAGACACUUCCUGCACUGUGCAGUCCAGUCCGACUACUGUGCACAUCCAGCAGGGUUCACAAAGCCUGGCAAACAGCUUGAUCCCUCACCAUACUCCGUACCGACCUGGAUUCUAUUCCCCUGCAUUAGUGUGCCAAUGCUGCCCCCCAGGCUCAAUGGACUCGGACUGCCAUAGUGCCCACCAGACAACUCCCUCAUACUCCCAUUACAGCUAUUACCAGCCAAACUGUCCUGUGGGCUUUCUGUAUCCUGGCAAUCAAAACCAGGACUGGCAGAGCAGUGAAACCCAGGAGACCAAGAAGAGUGAUGUCAACCUGGACACAGUCUUCCAGCUAGUGGACGAGUUGCACCACAAUUCCCCCAAAAUACGCAUGGUCAAAGUGGAGACCCCAGAGCGCCAGCAGCCGGUCCUGUCCACCAAUACACCAUCAGGGCCCCAGCCCAUCACCACCAUCCACAGCUCCCCUCACACAGUCACUGUCUCUUCCCAGCUUGACUCCUCUUUUAACUCCAGCCCAGUGACACCCCGCGGGCCCAUCAUUAUAGCAGUCCCGGGGAACGUUCCUCCUCAGGGAAUAGCCAUCACUGUCGGUGGUCCCGCGGCUGAGCAGCCAGUGAAGAGGGAGGACAAACCUGUGUCUGUGGAUGCCUAUCAGAAGGAGAUGGAUCAUGCUGUGAUUUCCCCAGUGCCCCGAGGAAGCAUCAGAGUACAUCACCAAGGUGAAGGAGAUCCAGGUGGUGGACUCAGAGGUCUGCAGUGUUCUACAUGAUGUUACUGUCUGCGGCCUCAGCCUGGAGAACGAGCACCAGACAGAAAACUAAAUCUCCUGAUCUGAACUUGUUGGUUGAAGUGGCAUGCACGCAAGAAUGUUGACCAUAGUCAGACCAGGAUGUCCCAAGUUUUCAGUUUUGCUACUCAGGCUCAAGUCUGAAUUUGCUGCAGCUUCUUUGUUGAAAUAUGUUGACCUAUGUUACUUGAAUGUCACUGAUAAAAACAUAUAUAUUUUCCUGAUAGUACACAUAUUGGACAUUGUACAUAGUUCAGCCCUGUUCUAAUUUAUUCUUAUUUAUAU